AACAAUUUUUAAUUGCACAGCGAAUAAAAGGACGGCCAAGGGUGUAUGCUUGGAGUUGAUACGAAACAAACAAAAAUUGAAAAAUUGAAAUUGCGUAAAGAGAAACAACAGUCAGUCCUUGAACCAGUACACUAUUCAUCUUUGUCCGACUAUUCGAACUCUUGUUGUGGUAUCAAUUUGCUAGAAUCACCAAAUCGUUUUAUUCCUAGUACAUCGGGUAUCCAAGAUAAAAUUUUACCUGAAUCUGGGCCAACAAAAACAAAAAGAGCUAGAAAAGAAAUCAUAUCUCCACGAUUAUCAGCUGUUUUUGAUAAGUGUAAAAUAAGUAACAGGGAUUGUGUCCAUAUAUUAACUGCAGUUUUAGAUGCAAUAUCGGUAGAUCCAAAUUAAUAUAUCGAACAUCAAUAAAAUCUGCCAGGGAAAAAUUUCCACAGCAUAUUUUUAAAGAGAUGAAAUAUAGGUUUGAUAAUUUAAAUUUUAAAUCAUACGUACUUCAUUGGGUUUCUAAAUUAUUACCAGACAUAACUGGACAUUUGAAAAUUGAUCGACUUCCAGUAAUUGUUAUAACACCGAAUGUAGAACAGUUGUUAAGAGUUCCAAAACUUGAUUCGGAUACGAGAUAUGAAAUAAGUUCUGCUGUAUAUGACACUCUAGAGAAAUGGUCUUUAUUAGACAAAGUACAGGUUUUUGUAUUUGAUACAACUGCUAGUAACACAGGUCGAUUAAACGGUGCAUGUCAAAUAUUAGAGCAAAAACUGAUCGUGAUAUUUUAUACUUGGUAUGUAGGCAUCAUGUGUAUGAAAUAGUUCUGCAAGGUGUAUUUACUGAAGUAAAAUUAGCAACAAGUACAGGGCCAGAUAUUUCAUUAUUUAAAAAGUUCAGAAAAGAAUGGAACACUAUAGAUACAAAUUCAUAUUCAAUAUGGUCUACCGAUAAAAAUUUGAAUGAUAUUUUAAAAGACGUUGCUGACGAAACAAUACAAUUUUGUAUAAAUAAAAUUAAAGAAGAUUUGCCUAGAGAUGACUAUAAAGAAUUUCUUGAAUUAAUAAUAAUAUUUUUAGGAGGUAUGCCAUCAUGGAGGAUACGUUUUAUAGCUCCAGGUGCUUAUCAUCUUGCACUAUGGAUGGCAAAAGCGUUGUAUUGUUUAAAAAUAUUUUUAUUUCGAUAACAAUUCAAAAUUACGCAACGUGAAGAAAAGGCAUUAAAAAGAUUAUGUUGUUUUAUUAUUAAGUGCUAUGCAAAAUCAUGGUUUUUAACUCCAAACGAAAUUACAGCUCCAAUGAAUGAUAUAAUGUUUCUAAAAAAAUUAGAACUGUAUAAAAUAAACGAUAAAGAAGUAGCAGAAAAGCAAUAAUGAAAUUUAUAAAUCAUUUAUGGUAUUUGAGUGAAGAGUGUUCUGCUUUUUCAAUAUUUGAUGAAAGAUUAAGUAUUGACGCACGAUUGAAAAUGGCUGAAAAAUUUUGCAAGAACAACCUGAAAGAGAACCACAAAAAAAUUACAUUGUGAAGUUUGAAGAUGUACAACACUUUCUCGAUAAAGAUUUACCUUUGGAUUUGUUAGGUCCCAAUUCCAAAAAUGUAUUCAAAAGAUUCAAUAUUCCUGAAGAUUUUUUAAAAGUUCAACCAGAAAAGUGGCAUGAAUUAGAAGAGUACCAGAAAGGAAAAAGCAUAUUAAAUUCAAUAAAGGCAGUCAAUGAUAUGGCAGAACGAGGAGUCUAACUUAUGCAAGAAUAUAACGACAAGUUUAUAACAAAUGAAAAUCAAAAACAAUUUGUUUUACAGGUGGUUCAAGAUUACAGAAAACAAUAUCCUGAAUUUACUCGAUAUACUCUUAAGAAACCAUAUACCUACUUAACGGUAUCGUUCAUGGUCACAUACGACAUCAUCGCACACGUGCUUACAAUUUCACAGGAAAUCAUCGAUAUAUGGUUGACGCAAAUGCGUGGGAAGAGCGGAUGCACGUGCACUGAUCAGCAGAGACCUGCCGGUACCGCGGGGGUCUCUGGACGAUAUAUAAGAGGGUCCAGAUUAGACACAUUUUAGACGUGAUUUACCAGAGUUAGAGCGAGCACUUUCACGCCACCCAGUUCAAUAAUUUUAUUAUUUGGACUUAGAAUAUUUUUCAAAGUUUAAUUUAUUUAAUUAUUUGAACAUAGAAUAUUUUUCAAUAAA